GAUGAACGCUGGCGGCGUGCUUAACACAUGCAAGUCGAGCGAGAAGUUUUGAAAAGAUUCUUCGGAUGAAAUUUAAAAUGGAAAGCGGCGGACGGGUGAGUAACGCGUAGGCAACCUGCCCCAUACAAAGGGAUAGCAUUUGGAAACGAAUAUUAAUACCUUAUGAAACUUAACUAGUGCAUGCUAGGUAGGUCAAAGAUUUAUCGGUAUGGGAUGGGCCUGCGUCUGAUUAGCUAGUUGGUGAGGUAACGGCUCACCAAGGCGACGAUCAGUAGCCGACCUGAGAGGGUGAACGGCCACAUUGGAACUGAGACACGGGCCAAACUCCUACGGGAGGCAGCAGUGGGGAAUAUUGCACAAUGGGGGAAACCCUGAUGCAGCAACGCCGCGUGAACGAGGAAGGCCUUUGGGUCGGAAAGUUCUGUUCUAGGGGAGGAGAACUGACAGUAACCUAGGAGAAAGCCCCGGCUAACUCCGUG
rnacentral:rRNA from 1 species